CUUCGGGGGUACACGAGCGGCGAACGGGUGAGUAACACGUGAGUAAUCUGCCCUCCACUUCGGGAUAAGCCUCGGAAACGGGGUCUAAUACCGGAUAUGACUCUCCUCGGCAUCGGGGUGGGUGGAAAGUUUUUUCGGUGGGGGAUGUGCUCGCGGCCUAUCAGCUUGUUGGUGGGGUAAUGGCCUACCAAGGCUUCGACGGGUAGCCGGCCUGAGAGGGUGACCGGCCACACUGGGACUGAGACACGGCCCAGACUCCUACGGGAGGCAGCAGUGGGGAAUAUUGGACAAUGGGCGGAAGCCUGAUCCAGCAACGCCGCGUGAGGGAUGACGGCCUUCGGGUUGUAAACCUCUUUCAGUAGGGACGAAGCGCAAGUGACGGUACCUACAGAAGAAGCACCGGCCA
rnacentral:rRNA from 1 species